UUGUAGGCUAAUUAGGUAAAACAACAUAUUCAAAUGAUAAUUGACAGAAAAAUGUCUCUUUGUAUUCCAUAUAACAGUGUUACAAAUUUAAAACUAUGAAAUAUAAAAGAAUAAAUGAAUCCACACAAAAUAAUAAAUUGACAACCAAAAGUCUUAAACACCCCCACUCUACAUAAAAAUUGCCCAAUUGACAAUUCUUAAUCUUCAUUUAGAAUAAACCAACAAAAUAUCAUUCGAACCAGAGAUCGUUUAGUCAUUAAAAUAUAUCAAAUAAAUCAAUAAUGUAAGUAUCAAAAAGCAUAUUUAUAAUGAACGUUGACUUAUUUGAUACAUUUGAAUGAUUAAAUGAUCUCCAAUUUGAAUGAUUUUUCGUAGCGACGAAAGUAACAGAUUAAACGGUUUUGAUCAUGAAAUUUUUAUGGUAAAAAUACGUUAUUUGUAAGUGGUGGAAUGAGCUCAUCCUUGCAUAAAUAAAAUAGCAUUAUCCUUUUUAUAAUACUUUGAGCUCUAAGUUAAUUGGUAUUUUUCUUCUUCUAAUGGUAAAAAGAUGUUUCGAAUUUGGCAAUUCGAUUGUUCUAAUGAUUCUACAAUUUUCGGUUGCCAAACAAUUAUAGGCCUAUUGAAAAAUGGGUAUAUACGUGCUAUAUAUAAUAAGUUUAUAGCAAGAUUUAUUUUUGGAUUGCCGGUUUAGAGUUAAAUUGGCUUCGGCUGAGAAAUGAAAAUAAUCCAAGUUCAUAACUUAGGGCAUCGAAAAAGCACUUUGGCUAAAGAGAGAUGCUUCUAAGUGCUUUUACUACCUAAGAAACUUUUGUUUCGAACAUUUUCAUAAUUCAUAAACAAGAAAAUUGUAGCAAUGAUGAUUUAACUUUAAUUCAAUUGGAGUAAUAGUCUUUCAAGUGAAAAUCAAUGACCAUUGGUCUCUUAACUUAUCAAAACGUGUAAUUAUAGUCAUUUUUGUUAAUUCCGUUAGAAAUUCGUCAAAAUGAGUUUUGUUGAAAUGACCAUUGCUACACUUGGGUUAAAGUUGAGGGACCAUUGCUCCAACUGAGUUUAAGUUGAAGUUGAGAGAUCAUUGCUUUAAUUGGAUUAAAGUUGAGAGGUUAUUGCUCUAAUUGGAUUAAAGUUGAUGAACCAUUAUUAUAAUUUCCUCUUCAUAAACGUUCUUUAUUUAUUAUGUGAAAGGACUUUUUUGAAAAGCACUCCCAAACAGCUUUAGAAUUUUCCAGGUCGACGGACGGACGGACCGAGGAUCCACUCCAACAACAUCGAUAUUAUUUCCACUUUACCACCUAGUCAAUCCUCAUGUGUAAGAUUUUAUUACAAAAAGCCUUGCUAUUAAUUAUAGUAAGAUAAUUCUAUUUAGGGUAAAAGACUGUUUACCACCCUCAUGUUUCAUGGUUUUCAACAUUUAGUACAUCAAGUUUUUUUCGUUCCAGAGUCAUACAUAAAGUGUAAAUUUUGGGACAAUCUCAUACAUCUGUUAGUCAAACUGUUAGUUCUCCUGUUAAGUGAUGACGUGGCGCCCUGAUUGGACGCCACGUGUCAUUAAAAAAAUAAAAAAUGUAUUUAAAUAAAAAUAAUAUUAAAAUAUAUUAAAAUAUUAAAAUAUUAAAAUAAUAAUAAAAUAUUUUUUUUCUUCUUCUCUUAAUAAAAUAUAUAUUUUUUCUUCUUCUCUUUUUUUUUUUUUUUUUUUUUUCUUCUUCUUCUUCUUCUGGGUUCGGUUUUUUUUUUUUUUUUUUUUUUUCCUUCUUUCUCCUCCUCCUCCUCCUCCUUUUUCUUCCUUCUCCUUCCUCCUCCUUCUUCUUCUCCUUCUUCUUCUUCUUCUGGGUUCGGUUUCUCUCUUCUUCUUCUUUUCUUCUUCUUCUUCUUCCUCCUCUUUCUCCUUCUUCCUUCUCUUUCCUCCUCCUUCUUCUUCUCCUUCUUCUUCUUCUGGGUUCAGUUUCUCUUUUUUUUUUUUUUUUUUCCUUCUUCCUCCUCCUUCUCCUUCUUCUUCCUUCUCAUUCCUCCUCCUUCUUCUUCUUCCUUCUCCUUCCUUCUCAUUCUUCUUCUCCUUCUUCUUCCUUCUUCUUCCUCUUCUUUUCUGGGUUCGGUUUUUUUUUUUUUCUAUUUUUUUCCUUCUCCUUCAUUCUUAAGAAGGAAGAAGAAGGAGAAGAAGAAUGAGGAGGAAGGAGAAGGAAGAAGAAGGAAGAAGAAGAAAAAAAAAAAAAAAAAAAAGAGAACCGAACCCAGAAGAAGAAGAAAAAAAAAGAAGAGAAAAGGAAAAAAAAUAUUUUUUUAUUUAAAUAUUUAUUUAAAUAUUUUUUAAUAUUAUUUUUAUUUAAAUAAUUUUUUUUUAAUGACACGUGGCGUCCAAUCAGGGCGCCACGUCAUCACUUAAUUGGAGAACUAACAGUUUGACUAACAAAUAUAUGAGACUGUCCCAAAAUUUACACUUUAGGUAUGACUCUGUGACGAAAAAAACUUGAUGUACAAAAGGUUGAAAAUCACGAAACACGAACGAGGGUAGUAAACAGUCUUUUACCUUUCUAUUUAAAUUGCUUUCUCUUGGGCACUCGUACCCAGUGUCCUAUUAGCCAAUUACAGAGGUGACAACAGCUGGUGCCGAAUGCCAACGAGAUAGCUUUGUAGGCAACAAAACCAUACUGAAAUUCUUCAAGAAUUGUAGGCUAAUUAGGUAAAACAACAUAUUCAAAUGAUAAUUGACAGAUAAAAUGUCUCCUUGUAUUCCAUAUAACAGUGUUACAAAUUUAAAACUAUGAAAUAUAAAAGAAUAAAUGAAUCCACACAAAAUAAUAAAUUGACAACCAAAAGUCUUAAACACCCCCACUCUACAUAACAAUGACUGCAGCGAAAACCCCAACGGCUAGAGCUCCGGCGGCGGAGAACUGAUUCAAAACGGCACCAUUGGCAGGAACUGGAGCCUCGGAGGGAGAUCCAGAAACUGAAGAGGGAACAGUCGCCGGGGACGACGAUGGGAGAGAAGGUGGGGAGUCGGCGACGGGAGAUGAGGAAGGCGAAGCCGAUGGUGCAAUGCUCGAUGGAGAAGGAGCGGCGGCCGUAGGUGGAGUGCUCGAAGGAGAAGGAGCGGCGGCCAUAGGUGGAGUGCUCGACGGAGAAGGAGCGGCGGGAGCUUGUUUGGGAGAAAGCGCAGGAGACUUGGCCGGAGACGAUGCAGGGGAUUGCGCCCCCGUCGAGGCCAGCAAGAGGGAAGCCGUUAGGACCAAAACGACGCCGCUGAAUCGGGCCAUUUGUAGAGAGAGAAACUUGAACAGAGAUUUAGAGAGAGAGACAGAGAGAGAGGAAUCUAGUGAGGGUCUGAGAGUUGAGAGGCGAGUUGCUGAUGGGAUUUAAGGAGUGGAGAUCGGGGGUUUAUAUAGAGGGAGGGGGAGGAGACGCGUGGCGUGUAGAAUACCGUUGGACGGUGGAGAUUUUCUUGCUGUGAUGAUUGAAAGUCGGUAAAGAGAACGUGUGACCAACUCGGAGGCGUGGUUGUUUAGAGGACUGGUCUGGUUUUUUUUUAAUGGCCGUUGGAUGUACGCUUUACAGCGUGUAACGGUUAAUUUUCCGACGGUGCAGAUGGUAGGUUAUCUGGGAGAUUUGCUUCUUUUUUUUCUUUUUACUUUAUGUUUGUCGGACUUUUCUUUUUACUUUUGAAAUCUUUUUUCUUUUCUUUUCUUUUCUGGCACUCCCAGAUUGUUUUAUUAAAGCAAACGGAUCCUUUCUUUCAAUUUCAAGUGCUAGCCACGGUCCACAUCAAGUGGUCCAGCAGUAAGGAUGUGUAUACUGCGGUUCUUUAAAAAACAAAAAAAAUGUGAAAAGUUUCGAGUUCAAUGCUUCCAGUUGGUGAGUUUGCUUAAUUAUGGCUAUGGAUAAAGUAAAAUUUCACAUAGCUUCUUUGGACCGGAAAGAGGUGAAUAAUCGUUAUUUACCAUCGAUUGUCUUGUUUUUUUAACAAAAAAAAAAUCAAUUUCAAGUGCCAGAGUGGACAAUUGGAGAUAGGGCGUGUUGGCUAAGAUUAUAAUUUUUUUAUCGUACCAAAUUGUAAUUUUAUUGUAUAUAAAAAAAAUAAACGGUUAAAUAAUUUUGAAUUUGUUUGGUUUAUGUAAAAUUAAAAUGAACCGUUUUUACAAUUAAGCAAAUAUAUCACUUUGAGGUAACUAGGGAUAGUUUGAUAUUGUUGUGCUUUGAAAAAAAACCGAUUAUGUUGUGCUGUGAGAAUAAGCAACUGUGAAAUAAAGCAACAGAGUGUUUGGUAAACAUUUUUGUAAAAGUGUAUUAUAGUGUUUGGUAAACUUUGAUGUAAAACAAUUAUGAUUGUGUGAAAUGACCAAAAAGGGUAUAAUACUAGAUAUGUCAUUAAUUUAAUUUUCUUAACAAAUAAAGGUGAAUUACUAAAUGUACUUUAUUUUUAUCUUAAAUAUUAAUUAGUAUGAUAAACUACUUCAAUUGAAAUAUUUACUGUUUGGACCCAAAUUUACAUCAUCGGCCUGUGUAAUCAAGGCCGUUGAGGGAGUAUAGUUCUUAACCUUUGGAUGGAAAAGUGGAGAUAAUUUUUGUUAUUGUUAAAGGAUAAUAUUAUGAUUUUUAUCAUAAUAAUUAUAUUUUAAUAAGAAUUAUCUUAGCAUCUUUUUCAACCAGAUAAAUAGGAUGCGAAUUAUAUCCCAAACAAGCAGUAGAGUUCGAAUUGAUUUGGGAUGUCUGACGGCACUUGGAAGCUAAAAAUGAAUUUGAAAUUCAUUUAGAUAGGUUCAAGAUGCAUGCGACAAUAAAGAUGAUGGAUUUGGAUGAUGAUGAGAUAAGCCUAGGUAGACUAGGCCUUUUUGCAUAAUGAUGAUGUUGUCAUAUGGGUUUAAAAGCCACUGAUGGAGUUUUGAUGAUGAGAUAAGAAGCCUAGGUGAGUUAGGCCUCUAAUGUGAUGUGACCAAGCUUAGAUAGGCUUUAUUUUGUUUGAAAAGUCAUGAAAUCUGAAGGUUCACAUGGAUCAAUUUCAGUUUCAUAAAGUUAGAGUUACAGUUAGACUCUACAAAGCUUUCAGGCUGUGCCAGGCAAAGGACAGCCACUAUAAAUACAGAGUCGCAUGCAACAUUGAAGGCCCCCAACUCAACACAAAAACUGCCCUGCGCAAACUCUCACUCUACGCGAAACCUCUCAACAACCUUGAGAUUUUUAUUUUCUUUUUCGCUAACAUGCUUUCAGUUUGGAUAAACAACACUGUGAAUGCAACUGGCGAACACCUUUAGUUUGGAUAAACAUCAUUGUUGCCGUAGAAUCAGCUAACCGCGAAGCACCUUCAGUUUGGAUAAACAACACUGCGUCGAGGCCGACUGAUUAUCUAUCCAAGUCUUUGUCAAGAAGGAUUUCCGAAUCCUUAUUGGCAGAGGUCAUCUCAUUAGCCUUCUCGGCGAAGUGAGGUGUUACAGGUUACUACAUUCGGCAUGUUGAAAGCCAAAUUUGAUAUUGAACUUCACGGAACUAGUAGCCUUGUUUUCAGGCUCUAGAACUCGAAGGCCGAGACGUGUUCUUUUCUCGGCCGCAGUCGCAAGAUCAAGAAGUCAGCAGUGCGCUCAACACAACAUCAACUCAUUUAACUCACCGGUCGAGCUUGACCGUCAAGUUGCCUCGCACACAACCAAAUGACGUAGUUAGCUCAUUAGUUAUUCGGCCUACGCGUCACGUAGGUUUGGUAGUUUUUAGGGUCAACAUUUACACACUCAAUGAUGAGUGUUGAAGUCCUAUUAGAUUAGGAACGUGAUUGUGUUAAUCCUAGUAGAUAUAGGAAUAUCUCUUAUAUUCCUAUUAGGAGUUGAUUACCUAUUAAGAGUUGUAAUCCUAAAAGGGUAAGAAUUUUACCUAUCCUACUACUAUAAAUAAAAGCACAAUGCGAUGAAAUAUAACACACCUGACAAUUACACAUCUCUCUUUCUCUCUACAAUUGCCGCAUCAUCCUUCUCUCUAAGGCUCCAUAAUUGUUUAGUAAAUUAAGCCUACAACAAUAUCACAAUUUUUUAUUAUUUUUAUUAUGUAAUAUAACAAUAUUUUUUAUUUUUACUUUAUUUAUAAUCUGAAUCUUUCUAGAACUCUCCUCUCCCUCAAUUCCUCCGACUUGUUUUCCGUCUACUUCAUCUUCAUUUACCAAAAAAAUGGCAUCUUUCAUUUACCCAGAAUGUUAAUUCUUCAUUCCCUCCAUCCGCAAUAUAGAAAUGGCGAAUUCUCUAACUAAAAAUUGGGUUUUGGGUGAGGUUCGGUGGGAUGGGGAGGUCAUGCCACUCCAACCCCAAUUCCUUCAUCAUUACGUGUCUCUCCCAAGCAACCAUCCUCCCUGUCUCUCCCCACCCACUCUCUCUAUCCUGCAACACUAGGGGUGGGCACUGUCCGGUUCGGCCCGGUUUCACCCUCAAAAUGGAACCGAAAUCAGAAAAUUUCAACGGUUCAGUUUGGUGCGGUUUCAUUUAAAUUUAUUACUUAAACCAUACAGUUCAGUUCAUGCCGGUUUACGGUUCUAAUCAAAAUUAUAUAUAUGUUUUUUCUAAUUUUCUACUUCUAAUACCAAACACAUAUUUCAACCACAAAUUCAAGUAAUUUUGAGUUUCCAAUACUAGAUCUACAAGUUUUGUGAUCGGAAGAUAGAAAGUGUGCAUAUAAAUAUAAAUCAAAAGAUAGAAAGGCUCAUAUCAAGAUCAAAGUGUAGAUCUUAAACUAAAACUAAAAUGUUCAUAAUGCAUAAUAUACUGGAAAAUAAUGGAGAAAAAUAAUGUAGGGGGAGAAAAGUGAUAAAACAACAAAGGAGGGGGGGGAGAAGUGAAGAAAAAUAUUGGGCUUAUGCACAUGGUCUUCUUGGAAAAAUGUCUUAUCUCUACUAAUUAAUAAAACUCUCUUUGUCAACCAAAAGAUGGUGAAAAGACAAAUUAGUCAUCUAUCACAAAAAAUAAUAAUAAUAAUAAUAAUGGGCAAUAAUGUAAUUUCACAAGUCCAAAUUUUACUAUUUUUUAUUGAAACUUCACCUACAUGUGAUGUUAAAAUACCUCUAUUAUUAGAAAAAAAAAAACUAAAAACAAAAACCUUUCACUCCCCCACGUUCUUUAUCUCUCCCUUUCUCCUUCUCAUUUUCUCUAAAAAAUGUGUUCAUACACACAAACUGUGUAGGCAAAUGCUAAUUUAUAUAAAAAUAAUAAUAAAACAAUCAUUUAUAUUAAAAGCGGUUCGGUUUUUGUUCCAGUUUUGACUUUUUUGAUCAACGCGGUUUUUUACCAUUUUUUUUGUCACUGUUCAAUUCGGUUUUCCGGUUUGGAGGUUUUUAUGCCCACCCCUAUGCAACAUACUGAACCAAAUUCAAUUUGUUACCAACCCUUUAUCCUUUCCCUACUUAAUACAAAAACAGAAACCUAAUUCAAAUACUUCAUUGUCGCAGCUCUUUCUCGGCACAUUCGUUAAAAUUUAGAUAAGUUCAAUUGUGGGUAUUUGAAAUAUAUCAAUAUUUAGCUUGAAUUUAUCGAAUUGGAUUCUGGGUACCUCAACUUUUCAGCUAUGCUAGGUUUAGGAGGAGAUUGGGUCAAGAGGAUAGGUCGGGGUUCAAAAAGGGAUUGAAAUCAAAUUAUAUAGGAGUUUUGAUGUGGCAAGAGGUGGAGGCUUUAGCUGGGAAUGAAGUUUCAAGUUGGGGAUUGGGUUUGGGGCGUCGAGUUGGGAGUGAAUGAGUGAGACGAGAGGGAGAGAACCAGUGAGAUGGCAGAGCAAGGAAGAGGACAACGCGAGAGGUGAGGGUAGGAUCGGCAUUUGCAAACUUUCAUUAAACAUUAAUGUUCACCCGUGUUUCUAAGAUAAAAAGUUGGUUUUUGAAAGCAGCAAAUAGCUGUUUCUCGCAGCAAUUUUGAAACAAGUGUUUUAUUGCUAAGUUACCAAACACAAUAUUGAGCUCAACUUUUUUUCAUCCCUGCUUUUAAAAAAAUUUAAGCACUACCAGGCUUUAGCCCAAGUGAGAUAAAAGAAAAAAAAAACGAGUAGUAAUUCAAUUGUGAGAAGACUCAGUGCUUCACAUGUUUCACUUAGUUUAGGGGUUUAAAUUAGGGUAUUGUUGACCUAUUUUACAUAUUUUCAUUAGUUUAUAUCGUAUUUUUUAUGUCUAUUGUUUAUGUUCGUUUCUUGUUUUUGUUGUAUUUUUUAUUUAUAAAUUUUAACGGAAAGGGACUACGUUUAUUCUGUCAUUUCUUACCAAUUUUUUUUAUUCAAAAGCUAGUUUUAGGAUGCGGCAAAGAUAGUGGCAAAAACUCCCUAGCACAACCAAACUGGGCGGCAUAAGAUCGGUGCGAAGGAUUAAAACCUUCUCGGCCUCAAUUCACUAUGUACAUAUGGUUCCAAUUUGAAAUUAACAUGCAGUUUCGAUUAGGCUCAAGAAGUUCCUCGAACACACAGUCAAAAACAGAAGUUACUUGGAUGAAUCAUGAAUGUAGGGAUAAUUUGGUGAUAACACACUGAAAUAAUAAUCGGAAAAAUGUAUCUUUAUAUAUUCUCAUAUAACAGCGCUACAAAUUUAUAAAUUGUGAAACAUAAAUGAAUAAAUGAAUUUAGUACAAUAAUAAAUGGAAAUUCAAAAGUCCAUAAACACCCCCACUCUACAUAACAAUGAGUGCAGCGAAAACUCCAACAGCUAGAGCUCCGGCGGCGGAGAACCGAUUCAAAACGGCACCGUUAGCAGGAGCGGGAGCCUCGGAGGGAGAUCCAGAACCUGAAGAGGGAACAGUCGCCGCCGCGGGAGACGACGGUGGGGGAGAAGGUGGAGAGUCGGCGACGGGAGAUGUGGAAGGAGAAGCCGAUGGUGAAGUGGUCGAUGGAGAAGGAGCGGCCGUAGGUGGAGUGCUCGACGGAGAAGGGGCGGCGGGAGAUUUUUUGGGAGAAAGUGCGGGAGACUUGGCUGGUGACGAUGCAGGGGAUUGCGCCCCGGUCGAGGCCAGCAGGAGAGAAGCCAUUAGCACCAUAACGACGCCGCUGAAUCGAGCCAUUGUAGAGAGAGAAAGAGAGAACUCAAACAAAGACUUAGAGAGAGAGAGAGGAAGUAAGUGAGGGUUUGGGAAUUGAGAGACGAC
rnacentral:lncRNA from 1 species